rnacentral:rRNA from 1 species
CUACAGAGGGUGCGAGCGUUAAUCGGAAUUACUGGGCGUAAAGGGUGCGUAGGCGGCUUGAUAAGUCGGAUGUGAAAGCCCCGGGCUUAACCUGGGAAUUGCAUUCGAUACUGUCAGGCUAGAGUAUGUCAGAGGUUGGCGGAAUUCCUGGUGUAGCGGUGAAAUGCGUAGAUAUCAGGAGGAACACCAGUGGCGAAGGCGGCUAACUGGGACAAUACUGACGCUGAGGCACGAAAGCGUGGGGAGCAAACAGGAUUAGAAACCCUUGUAGUCC